rnacentral:rRNA from 1 species
AUUGAACGCUGGCGGCAUGCCUUACACAUGCAAGUCGAACGGUAACAGGCCGCAAGGUGCUGACGAGUGGCGAACGGGUGAGUAAUGUAUCGGAACGUGCCCAGUCGUGGGGGAUAACUGCUCGAAAGAGCAGCUAAUACCGCAUACGACCUGAGGGUGAAAGCGGGGGAUCGCAAGACCUCGCGCGAUUGGAGCGGCCGAUAUCAGAUUAGGUAGUUGGUGGGGUAAAGGCCCACCAAGCCAACGAUCUGUAGCUGGUCUGAGAGGAAGACCAGCCACACUGGGACUGAGACACGGCCCAGACUCCUACGGGAGGCAGCAGUGGGGAAUUUUGGACAAUGGACGCAAGUCUGAUCCAGCCAU